AACGUAGGUGGCGAGCGUUAUCCGGAUUUACUGGGCGUAAAGCGUGUGCAGGUGGGUUGACAAGUGGUGUAUGAAAUCUCUCAGCUUAACUGAGAGCGGUUAUGCCAGACUGUCAGCCUAGAGUACGAGAGAGGGACGUGGAAUUCCGGGUGUAGUGGUGAAAUGCGUAGAGAUCCGGAGGAACCCCAGAGGCGAAGGCGGCGUCCUGGCUCGAUACUGACACUCAGACACGACAGCAUGGGGAGCGAACGGG
rnacentral:rRNA from 1 species